GGCCACGGCUAACUCCGUGCCAGCAGCCGCGGUAAUACGGAGGUGGCAAGCGUUACUCGGAAUUAUUGGGUGUAAAGGGCAAGUAGGUGGCUUGGUAAGUGAGGGGUGAAAUACUCCGGCUCAAUCGGAGAACUGCCUUUCAUACUGCCUUGCUUGAGGAUGACAGGGGGAAAGGGAAUUCCAGGUGUAAGGGUGAAAUCUGUAGAUAUCUGGAAGAACACCAGCGGCGAAGGCGCUUUCCUGGGUCACUCCUGACACUAAAUUGCGAAAGCUAGGGGAGCAAACAGAAUUAGAUACUCUGGUAGUCCUAGCCGUAAACGAUGAGCACUAGAUGUCGGCUCCGUUAGGAGUCGGUGUCGCAGCUAACGCAUUAAGCGCUCCACCUGAGGACUACGGUCGCAAGGCUAAAACUCAAAGGAAUUGACGGGGGCCCGCACAAGCGGUGGAACAUGUGGUUCAAUUCGAUGCUACGCGAAAAACCUCACCAAGGUUUGACAUGCAAGAAGUAGUGAACUGAAAGGGGAUCGACCUGUUAAGUCAGGAGCUUGCACAGGUGCUGCAUGGCUGUCGUCAGCUCGUGUCGUGAGAUGUUGGGUUAAGUCCCGCAACGAGCGCAACCAUUAUCCUUUGUUGCAACCUUAUUUCCAGCUUGCUGGAGAUGAGAGCACUCUAAGGAGACUGCCCGGGAUAACCGGGAGGAAGGUGGAGAUGACGUCAAGUCAGUACGGCCUUUAUGCCUUGGGCUACACACGGGUUACAAUGGUUAGGACAAAGGGUUGCCAACCCGCGAGGGGGAGCUAAUCUCAAAAACCUAGCCUCAGUUCAGAUUGAAGUCUGCAAUCCGACUUCAUGAAGCUGGAAUCGCUAGUAAUGGCAGAUCAGCACGCUGCCGUGAAUACGUUCCCGGGCCUUGUACACACCGCCCGUCAAGCGAUGAGAGCCUGGAGUACCCGAAGUCCUAUGUAGGUAGGCCGAAGGUAAAACAGGUGAUUGGCGCUAAGUCGUAACAAGGUAGCCGAAUCUCUGAAGAUCGCGCUUUUUCAGCUG
rnacentral:rRNA from 1 species